rfam:Bursaphelenchus xylophilus, Ka4C1 (inbred line), WGS project CADV01000000 data, contig: scaffold00460.130
GAGAUCAUGCUUCACAGGAUCAUUUCUGUAGUAAGCAUACUCUCGUCUAACGUCUAGGUUUCACCACCUGACUCUGCGAUGAUUGAGUCGUGGUGACCCUUCCAGAGCGUGAAGUUCGCUCCGUUGGCUAAUGCAGUCGAUGGACCGUUGAAGAUCGCGAAUUGUGCACCUGGAGCACUGUUCACGGAGGGGUCGCUGGCUGAGCAGA